GUUUUAGUAAUUUAAUUAAAAAUAUUGGUCUUGUAAACCAAAUUUAAGGCAACUUCUAAAACU
rnacentral:tRNA from 1 species